UCACCGAGUGAGAUGGACAACAGUGCAUGAUUGCAUUCAAUUCCCACAAUAAUGUGGCAGAUUCGGGGCAGGCUCUACAGCACAUCAAGAACGCAUCGCCAGCUCAGCUGGAAUCAAUCAGAGAUAAUACAAGAGCUGCAGGAGUUGGAGCAGCAGCUGGAUGACAAUUCACAGACCUCGAAGUGACCAUUCCACAAUGGGUGGCCUAGCUUGAAGCACAUUUAUUCCCUUAGAUUGAUGAAAUCCAGACAAAUGUGUUCAAUGCCCACCAAAUUGAAAACGUUCAAUGAGAAUGCACAGGAACUAAAUGUCUCCGAUCAAUUAUCCUACACGACGAACGGAACAGCAUCAAAAGUCCAUCGAAAGUCGAACUCUAUCCAAAUAAGUUUGUGAAAUACCCGAGUCCUUACAAGUGUGGUUUAUCUGAAAAUUUAAAUGAAGGCAGUAUCAAAUUUCGCUUCAAGCAAUGUUGAA
rnacentral:sRNA from 1 species